AUUGAACGCUGGCGGCAUGCCUUACACAUGCAAGUCGAACGGUAACAGGUCUUCGGAUGCUGACGAGCGGCGAACGGGUGAGUAAUACAUCGGAACGUGCCCGAUCGUGGGGGAUAACGAAGCGAAAGCUUUGCUAAUACCGCAUAAGAUCUACGGAUGAAAGCAGGGGACCGCAAGGCCUUGCGCGAACGGAGCGGCCGAUGGCAGAGUAGGUAGUUGGUGGGAUAAAAGCUUACCAAGCCGACGAUCUGUAGCUGGUCUGAGAGGACGACCAGCCACACUGGGACUGAGACACGGCCCAGACUCCUACGGGAGGCAGCAGUGGGGAAUUUUGGACAAUGGGCGAAAGCCUGAUCCAGCCAUGCCGCGUGCAGGAUGAAGGCCUUCGGGUUGUAAACUGCUUUUGUACGGAACGAAAAGACUCUGGUUAAUACCUGGGGUCCAUGACGGUACCGUAAGAAUAAGCACCGGCUAACUACGUGCCAGCAGCCGCAGUAAAAC
rnacentral:rRNA from 1 species